GAAGAGGUGCAAAACAGCAAUUUCAACCAGUAUCCCAAUGUGGACAUAUAUAUGCACAUAUAUAAUAUUUGUAUCCAGCAUAUAGUAGAGAAGGCACUAAGGAGCAAAAAGAGGAAUCCGCCCGAGGAAAGGCUUGCGUCUGAUUAGCUAGUUGGUGAGGCAAUAACUUACCAAGACGAUGAUCAGUAGCUGGUCCAAGAGGAUGAUCAGCCAGACUAGGACUGAGACCCGACCCAGAUUCCUAUGGGAG
rnacentral:ncRNA from 1 species